rnacentral:rRNA from 1 species
GACGAACGCUGGCGGCGUGCCUAAUACAUGCAAGUCGAACGCAGUGGGGACGGGUGAGUAACAAGUGGGUAACCUACUAUCAGAGGGGAUAAAACUUGGAAACAGGUGCUAAACAGAUACUGCUGGAUGGAACCGCGGUGCAUUAGCUAGUUGGUGAGGUAACGGCUCACCAAGGCCACGAUGGAUAGCCGACCUGAGGGGGUGAUCGGCCACCCUGGGACUGAGCCACGGCCCAGACUCCUACGGGAGGCAGCAGUAGGGAAUCGUCGGCAAUGGACGAAAGUCUUACCGAGCAACGCCGCGUGAGUGAAGAAGGUUUUCGGAUCGUAAAACUCUUUUGUUAGAGAAGCGGUAUCUAACCAGAAAGCCGCGGCUAACUACGUGCCAGCCGCCGCGGUAAUUC